UACAGAGGUCCCAAGCGUUGUUCGGAUUCACUGGGCGUAAAGGGUGCGUAGGCGGUCGGGUAAGUCUGACGUGAAAUCUUCAAGCUCAACUUGGAACUGCGUCGGAUACUAUUCGGCUAGAGGAAUGGAGGGGAGACUGGAAUACUUGGUGUAGCAGUGAAAUGCGUAGAUAUCUGGAGGAACACCGGUGGCGAAGGCGGCAUCCUGGACCGAGAUUGACGCUGAUGCGCGAAAGCCAGGGGAGCAAACGGG
rnacentral:rRNA from 1 species